UACGGCCAUAUCAUUUUGAAACACCGGUUCCCAGAAGAUCACCACAGUUAAGCAACGUUGAUCCUGGUCAGUACGUAGAUGGAUGAACACUUGGGAAUACCAGUUGCUGUAAG